UACAGAGGUCCCAAGCGUUGUUCGGAUUCACUGGGCGUAAAGGGUGCGUAGGUGGUGGGGUAAGUCCGAUGUGAAAGCUCCGAGCUCAACUCGGAAAUUGCAUUAGAAACUACCUCGCUAGAGGGUUGGAGGGGGGACUGGAAUUCUCGGUGUAGCAGUGAAAUGCGUAGAUAUCGAGAGGAACACCAGUGGCGAAGGCGAGUCCCUGGACAACUCCUGACACUGAGGCACGAAAGCUAGGGGAGCAAACAGG
rnacentral:rRNA from 1 species